AUCCCGAUGGUGUAAUUGGUAACACACCAGAUUCUGGUUCUGGCUUUGGGGGUUCAAGUCCUCCUCGGGAUG
rnacentral:tRNA from 1 species